rnacentral:rRNA from 1 species
AGCAGCCGCGGUAAUUCCAGCUCCAAUAGCGUAUAUUAAAGUUGUUGCAGUUAAAAAGCUCGUAGUUGAAUUUUAGGCCUGGCCGGGCGGUCCGUCUUUGGCGAGUACUGUCCUGUGUCGGGUCCACCUUCUGGUGAGCCAGUAUGUCCUUUAUUGGGUGUGCCGGGGAGCCAGGACCAUUACCUUGAAAAAUUAGAGUGUUUAAAGCAGGCAUUUGCUUGAAUAGAUUAGCAUGGAAUAAUAGAAUAGGACGUUGUGGUUCUAUUUUGUUGGUUUCUAGGACCACCGUAAUGAUUAAUAGGGAUAGUUGGGGGCAUUAGUAUUCAAUUGUCAGAGGUGAAAUUCUUGGAUUUAUUGAAGACUAACUAUUGCGAAAGCAUUUGCCAAGGAUGUUUUCAUUAAUCAAGAACGAAAGUUAGGGGAUCGAAGACGAUCAGAUACCGUCGUAGU